AGUGAACGCUGGCGGCGUGCUUAACACAUGCAAGUCGAACGAAGCACCUUGAUUUGAUUCUUCGGAUGAAGAUCUUGAUGACUGAGUGGCGGACGGGUGAGUAACGCGUGGGUAACCUGCCUCAUACAGGGGGAUAACAGUUAGAAAUGACUGCUAAUACCGCAUAAGACCACAGCACCGCAUGGUGCAGGGGUAAAAACUCCGGUGGUAUGAGAUGGACCCGCGUCUGAUUAGGUAGUUGGUGGGGUAACGGCCUACCAAGCCGACGAUCAGUAGCCGACCUGAGAGGGUGACCGGCCACAUUGGGACUGAGACACGGCCCAAACUCCUACGGGAGGCAGCAGUGGGGAAUAUUGCACAAUGGGGGAAACCCUGAUGCAGCGACGCCGCGUGAGCGAUGAAGUAUUUCGGUAUGUAAAGCUCUAUCAGCAGGGAAGAAAAUGACGGUACCUGACUAAGAAGCACCGGCUAAAUACGUGCCAGCCGCCGCGGUAA
rnacentral:rRNA from 1 species